rnacentral:lncRNA from 1 species
UUAUAGGAACUAUGUAAGUACUUGGGAAGGUUUGUUUAUUAAACAACGAAUGUACUUAAAGGAAAGGAGAGAAUUGGGGGAGAGGGGCAGAGAGAGAAUCAAACAGGUUUCAUGCCCAGUGCAAAGCUCCAUCUCAACAUCUGAAGUUCAUGACCUGAGCUGAAAUCAAGAGUCAGAUACUUAACCAACUGAGCCACUCAGGUGCCCCUUUUCUAAUUUCUUAAAAAAUUAGAGCUACUUAGAAAUUAAGGCUACUUAGAGAACUGAUUUUAAGUCUUUAUUCUUUCCAAAUAUAUGUAGUUUA